rnacentral:lncRNA from 1 species
UUCUCACUUGUCUGCAAUAGGUUCCACAAAUAAGACCCAACCUUGAUUAAGUUUUUAAAAAAGGAUCUCAAUAAAUGUAUUGAAAGUGCAUUAUAUAUUUCAUGAUAUUUUAAUUUGAAGUAAAAAUCUCAUGUUAACAACGAUCAUAAAAUUAUAUAGGAAUGAACCAAAUUUAGUUAUUUUUUGUGUAUCUUUAUAGAAGUUAAGAGAAAAAAGAAAUUAACUUUUAAAAGUUAUGUCAACUGUUUUUUCAAAUAAUUUUACAGUUUAAAAAAAUAAACUUAGGUGUAUAAAUUAUAAAUACUUAUUUUCUUUAUAACUAUGUUAUUUGUUUGUUAGAAUAACUUAGUUAAUACUAGUAUAAGAAAUUUAUUUAUUAUUUACUCUAAAUAUAAAUUAGAAUUUUAUCUACUAAUGCGUAUAUACCAUUAACAUGGUUGAUAGGAUAAGUUCUGAAGUUUAAUCGUCUAUAUUUUUAUAAAAUACUGUAGCUGUACUAAUAAUUGAGCUGCGUCGAAUAGAAAUGGACCUUAUGCAAAUCAACAUCAAUGCAUCUACAAUGUAUUUAGGUGUUGAAAACAAAUUCAAUGGAAAGUCUGUGACUGUUUGCAAGUUGAAUUGUUAAUCGAAUGCUACAAAAUGGAUAAAACUUCAUCUUUUAUUUCAUUGUAUUUCAUAAAUGAAUGCUCCAAAAUCAAUCAGAUUAUUUUACAUGUACAUAUUCAUGUUCACUUGCAUAAGGUCGAUUUCUAUCCGACGCAGCUCAAUUUAUGAAGUGUGUUUAAUGAUGAUAUAAAUGUGUAUUAUAAUUUUCUAUUAAUGUUUUUUAUAUAAAGAUUAAUACUAGUUCAGGGACAGUAAACUUUUGUCUUUCAGAAGAAUAUAUGAUAAUUUUUCAGGGAAAGUAGUUUGCUAGUUCACCUAUCCAAAGUGUUCAUUAAAUGUUAAAUAAGCAAUAUAAAUAUUUGUAUGAAUAAUGAAAAUCUGACAUAAAUGCAAAUAAUCUUGAGGGUAUAGGUAUUGAAAAAAAUAAAACUUUCAUUUUAGAUUUUAAUAGCAAUAUUUUAUUUUUUAUCAGUAUUUCCUAUUAUUGCAAUAAUUAAUCAAGCUUUAUUGUCAUGUUGUACAAUAGCUGCAAAAAUAAAUACACUUAGAAAUAUCUCCGUUUAUUACAAAUCCUACAAUGAGAAAAAAAUGCAUUACUUAUCUAAAGGUCAUAGUGUAAUUUUCAACAUUAAACAUGGGUUUAAAUCAAAUGUCAAGCUGUGAAUAUCCUGAAGUCCUGGCAAGUUUAGUGGUCUAAAGGAUUCUUAAAGUAAAGGUAGAUUUAACAUAUUCAUUUAUUAAUUCAAUAAUCUAACAAUUGUACGGUAUACUGAGUGAAUUUUAAUGUUAAUUUUCUAUUUAAUACAAAUUAUAAGAAAGGAAACCAUUCAUUGCAAGAUUUUGCUGCUUCUUAACAAAUUUUCAAUCAUUUUUUUGGUUGAUUUUUGUACCAUAUCAUAAAGUAAUAACUAAUAGUGUAAUAAAUAAAAUUUUAAUGAAAAAACAAAUGUUUAAUUUUUUGCCGAAAUUUUUGUACCCGCGAGCCUCCUUAACUACCUAGGAAAUAAAAUCGCAAGUUAUUUGGAAAAUUUACACAUAAAUAUAGAAGGAACUCUAAUCAAAAAGAAAGGCAAAUGUUGAUGAUGAUGUUUUUUAUUAACAACCUUCACUAUCCAUGAGGGCCUUGCACUGUCAGCUUUAGCAAAUAAAACAACUAUAAUUAAGGUACAUAUACAUGUAUAUAAAAGUCUAUGAUUUUAGAUUUUGACCACUAUGAGUUUUGUGGGAAACUUUAUAAAAUAGUUGAUGUAAGACAAUAUUGUUCCAAAUGUAUUGAAUUUCUAUUGGUUCUCAGUAUAGUUUUAUGUUAUUUAAAGCAUUUCUUUAUGUGUUUUCAAUCAAAUUUAUUUUUAUAGAUGUUUUUAAAACUUAAUGUUAUUUUUACAUCUUUAACAAUAAAAUUUACUUUUGAGAUU